rnacentral:rRNA from 1 species
UACGGAGGGGACUAGCGUUGUUCGGAAUUACUGGGCGUAAAGCGCACGUAGGCGGAUUUGUAAGUCAGGGGUGAAAUCCCGGGGCUCAACCUCGGAACUGCCUUUGAUACUGCAAAUCUCGAGUUCGGAAGAGGUGAGUGGAAUUCCUAGUGUAGAGGUGAAAUUCGUAGAUAUUAGGAAGAACACCAGUGGCGAAGGCGGCUCACUGGUCCGGUACUGACGCUGAGGUGCGAAAGCGUGGGGAGCAAACAGG